CAAUGAUGAGGUGAGCCUGGUGAGGUGUGGUGUGGUGUGGUGCAGGUGGGUUUCUCGUUUCUUCAAUAUAAAAAGUUUUAUUCGUGGACAAAGAAUAUAUAUAUAUUUUUUUUUGUCAUCUGAUUUUUAUUAAAACUUUAAGAUAGGAUAUAAGGUGAAAUACUUAAGCCGGUGGAAAACAAAGAUAUCCUCAGAAUCUAAAGCCCAAAAGAGAGAAGCUAAGCCGGCGGACAAAAAAAAAGUCCCCGGAGACAAAGUCGGAGAAAAAAAAGAAUUCCCCCAAAUCUAAGUCUACGCUAAAAACAACAUAAACUUUUAAAGCCGAAAUCGAAAGAGAACGAAACCAAAAACUAAGAAAAGAGGCAAACUAAAAAUAAACAAGAAGAUAAACACUAAGUCAAAAUAACCAAAUCGAUCUUCUUCUUCUGAAGUUUCUGCGAAUGAGCUAUAUCAAUGCUGCCCAACCAUUAAUCACAACUGCUUCCUCCUAUCACAAUGAGAGAAGAUCUCUCGAAACCAAGUAACAAUGACUUCAUAAUCUGACAAGUAAAGGUCCAAAUAGAUCCUCAUUAAACACUUUCAGAUGCGGCUGCGACGAGGGUGCGUCAAGGAACACCUUGAUAGAAGUCAAAAAGAUGCAAUCCGACAUCCUCCAGAUUUGGAAACGCAGAGACAAGGAGCGAAACAUAACCACCUCGAUGAGCUUCGAAAUCAAGAACAAAAACGACACUCAUCUACAACGGAAAUCAUCACCAGUAACUUCCACCUAAGAGAAGAAAGAUCUGAAGCCAAACGACACUAGCAUAAACUUCACACAACAAGGGCCUCAUCUUAGAAAGGAGACGAACCAAACGAGCAACUAUUAGCUAAACCAGGCAAUAAGGGUGAGCGGAGAGGCUAAGGCAAGAUGAAAGCUAACUACAGAGCUCACACAAGCCAAGCACGCGACAUCAAAACACCAAGAAGCACAAGAGCGAGUAACAGAUCUGGAUUUGGGGAAGGCGAAAAGCAAUGGCUUUAUUACAUACCCGUCACCGUCGAUCUCAGAUCCGGCUCCAUCAUCUUCGCAAGAGCCCUGAACCACAAAUCUGAAACACUCAAACUGCUUCCGACAAACACCCAAAAUCACAAACCGAUCAAACUAAAUCGAAACCCCAAUCGAAGGCCACAAGAUUCUUAAAAUUAACACAAAACUAAAACCAAGAAAGGAAAGAACAAAAGGAGGACCAAAGCCGGUGCUAGAGGAGCCACCGUACUCCGGUCACCGAUCUGGGCAAACUUGUAAACUUGAGAGAGCGGCGGCUAGGUCUAGUCCCGAGAGAGAGAGGUGAAUUCGUGGACAAAGAAUAUAGAAUAUAGUUUUGUUUUCUCGCUUUGAAUAUAGAAUAUAGUAUAGCUCUCUUAAUUUAUAGUACAAAAAUAAUACUUUUUUAAGGAAAAUCAGUUCAAUAAUGUGUUUGGUUUAAAACCAGAGUUUUACUUCAUAGUUUAUACACAAGAUUACAUGAAGAAACACUACUACGCUUUAAAGAAAGAAAUCUAUUUAUCAGAAACGUUUUGAGAAA
rnacentral:lncRNA from 1 species